CCUACGGGUGACAGCAGUGGGGGAUAUUGCACAAUGGGGGAAACCCUGAUGCAGCAACGCCGCGUGAGUGAAGAAGGUCUUCGGAUUGUAAAGCUCUGUUCUUGGUGAAGAUAAGGACGGUAGCCAAUGAGAAGUCUCCGGCUAACUACGUGCCAGCAACCGCGGUAAUACUUAGUGAGCGAGCGUUGUCCGGAUUUACUGGGGGUAAAGGUUGCGCAGGCGGCUCUGCAAGUCAGGCGUGAAAGCUAGGGGCUCAACCCCUAAAUUGCGGUUGAAACUGUGGAGCUUGAGUGAAGUAGAGGCAGGCGGAAUUCCAGGUGUAGCGGUGAAAUGCGUAGAGAUCGGGAGGAACAUCAGUGGCGAAGGCGACCUGCUGGGAUUUAACUGACGCUCAGGCACGAAAGCAUGGGUAGCAAACAGGAUUAGAUACCCUUGUAGUC
rnacentral:rRNA from 1 species